rnacentral:rRNA from 1 species
GACGAACGCUGGCGGCGUGCUUAACACAUGCAAGUCGAACGGAAAGGCCCUGCUUUUGUGGGGUGCUCGAGUGGCGAACGGGUGAGUAACACGUGAGUAACCUGCCCUUGACUUUGGGAUAACUUCAGGAAACUGGGGCUAAUACCGGAUAGGAGCUCCUGCUGCAUGGUGGGGGUUGGAAAGUUUCGGCGGUUGGGGAUGGACUCGCGGCUUAUCAGCUUGUUGGUGGGGUAGUGGCUUACCAAGGCUUUGACGGGUAGCCGGCCUGAGAGGGUGACCGGCCACAUUGGGCCUGAGAUACGGCCCAGACUCCUACGGGGGGCAGGGGUGGGGAAUAUUGCAAAAUGGGGGGAAGCCGGGUGCAGCAACGCCGGGGGCGGGAUGGCGGCCUUCGGGUUGUAAACCGCUUUCGCCUGUGACGAAGCGUGGGUGACGGUAAUGGGUAAAAAAGCACCGGCUAACUACGU